ensembl:lncRNA
CGGCGCGUUCCCUGCGAGGGUCUGGGUUUAACUCCUGGUUGGGGAACUAAGAUCCCACAAGCCACCACGCGGCCAAAAAAACCCAAAAACAAAUCCGCUUUGCGGGUGAGGAGAGUGGGGCCCAAGGACCUAUGUGAGUGGCCCCCGCCGCGGCCUGUGGGCCCCGGAGCCCCUCCCUCAGCCGCCAGGGCCCGCCUUGCAAACUAGCCUCCCAACAAGCCUGUACACACCCCAAGGCUCCCAACACACCCGUGUCUCCUCUUUGAGAAUCAAUCUCGAGGCUCGCAGGCCUUUUUUUGAAAAAUUCUCCCUGCGAGGGUAGCUUUCAAUUUGGGGAGACGUUAAGCAAAGGGGUGAAGAGGGCGGACCUAAGAGUAAGAGCCCCUUACACCGCGUGGAACCCAGAGCACGGCUCUGUGUAAACACGCCGGGGUUGCAGGAAGCCCUGAAGGUGGUUCCGAGGAGUUCUGGAAAGACCCGGAGGAAGGACCAGCCUGUUGAGGAGACAUAAGGCACCCCGGGGGGCUCAUUUAACACUGGGUCAGCAGGCCCGCCUGUAGCCACAAGAGGGGCCGGGAGUGGGUUGGCUUAGCCGCGAGAGGCCCGGGGUUCCAGCCAGAACCAGGCUGGCCUGGGCCUGGUGAGGGAAGUGGGCCGUGGCGGCGAGGGGCUGGGGGAGCAGCGGGCUUGGCCAUGAGGCUCGCUGGCCUGGCCCAGGCCUGGGGUGGGGGUGAGCACUGCCCGAGCUCAGUUCGGUCACUUGCCCACCCUGGGGCCCGGCGAGACGGCCGUGCUCCCGGCGCGGCACGGGGAGGACACGGGUCCCAGGCUUGGGUCCGCAGCCAGGGGUCAGAACAGCCAAAGGCCUCCGGCCGGUGGGCCCGGGCAGACCCGGGCGGCCGUGACAGUGAGAACCGCAGCCAGGGGCUCGCGCAGCCGGCACGGGUGUCCCAUGGAUCUGGAGCCUAGGGUCAGAGUGCCGUCGAGCUGCGCUUCUUAGCUGGUGUUCCUGGUAAAAGAAUCCGCCUGCCAACGCAGGAGAUGCAAGAGAUGCAAGUUCAAUCCCUGGGCUGGGAAGAGGCCCUGGAGGAGGAUGUGGCAACCCACUGCAGCAGCCUUGCCUGGAGAAUCCCCGUGGACGAAGGGACUUGAAAAUCCCAAGGAAGAGUUUCCGGUCAGGUCCGCCACAGGAGGGGAACGGAAGGGAGCCGGUGUGCAGAUCGAGCUCUCAGUGGUCUGGCUGAACAGGCCAGAGAGGCUCCCAGAAGGUCUGUCCCAAGACACGUGGCCUGUGAUACCGGGACACACGGAGGAGCAGCCCUGCCCCCGCCGCCCACAAGCAGUCUCCCUUCCCAGCCUGGGACAUCUCAGAUGCAGCAGGGCCCCGUCUUACGGGACCAUGACUGUGGCCGCCUGCCGGCCACGCUUUGCCUGCUGUGGGCUCCCCGCCCCGGGG